UCUUCGAUAGCUCAGUUGGUAGAGCGGAGGACUGUAGAUCCUUAGGUCGCUGGUUCAACUCCGGCUAGAAGUUAA
rnacentral:tRNA from 1 species